rnacentral:rRNA from 1 species
UGGGGAAUAUUGCGCAAUGGGGGAAACCCUGACCCAGCAACGCCGCGUGAAGGAUGAAGUAUUUCGGUAUGUAAACUUCGAAAGAAUAGGAAGAAUAAAUGACGGUACUAUUUAUAAGGUCCGGCUAACUACGUGCCAGCAGCCGCGGUAAUACGUAGGGACCAAGCGUUGUUCGGAUUUACUGGGCGUAAAGGGCGCGUAGGCGGCAUGACAAGUCACUUGUGAAAUCUCUGGGCUUAACCCAGAACGGCCAAGUGAUACUGUCGCGCUAGAGUGCAGAAGGGGCAAUCGGAAUUCUUGGUGUAGCGGUGAAAUGCGUAGAUAUCAAGAGGAACACCUGAGGUGAAGACGGGUUGCUGGGCUGACACUGACGCUGAGGCGCGAAAGCCAGGGGAGCAAACGGGAUUAGAUACCCUUGUAGUCCCUGAGCGGGCUGGCAAGGCGCAU